rnacentral:rRNA from 1 species
CACGUAGGGCGCAAGCGUUGUCCGGAAUUAUUGGGCGUAAAGAGCUCGUAGGCGGUCUGUUGCGUCUGCUGUGAAAACCCGGGGCUCAACUCCGGGCCUGCAGCCGAUACGGGCAGACUAGAGUUCGGCAGGGGAGACUGGAAUUCCUGGUGUAGCGGUGAAAUGCGCAGAUAUCAGGAGGAACACCGGUGGCGAAGGCGGGUCUCUGGGCCGAUACUGACGCUGAGGAGCGAAAGCGUGGGGAGCGAACAGG